CAGGGUGUAGUUCAUCGGUAGAACGCUCGUAUGGGGUACGAGAAGCAGGAGGUUCAAUUCCUCUCACCCUGA
rnacentral:tRNA from 1 species